AUCUUUCAGGCUUGAUGCUAUAAAUUUCCACUUGAAGUUAUUAAUCCGGCCUAGCUGAAAAUAACAUCUACAACAAUAAAAAUAAUGAGGAAUCCAAUAACAUUGAGAAAAGGAGAAGAAGAGUUAAUAAAUGAAUGAGGAAAUGUGGGAAUAGUUACAUGCAUUGAUAUGGAACAUACAAUAAAAAAAAAAAAAGAAAAUGGUGGACAUAAUUAAGCUUGCAAAACGUGUUGGAGAUGCUUUUAUGAAAUUUCAUGUAUCACAUUGUAUGAUUUGUACCUGUGAUGGUAACACUAAACUCUCAGGGAAUUAGGCAAAGGGCUG
rnacentral:misc_RNA from 1 species